CCUAAGGGAGGCUGCAGUGGGGAAUAUUGGACAAUGGGCGAAAGCCUGAUCCAGCCAUGCCGCGUGUGUGAAGAAGGCCUUCGGGUUGUAAAGCACUUUCAGUGGGGAAGAAAGCCUUGGGGCUAAUACCCUCGAGGAAGGACAUCACCCACAGAAGAAGCACCGGCUAACUCCGUGCCAGCAGCCGCGGUAAUACGGAGGGUGCGAGCGUUAAUCGGAAUUACUGGGCGUAAAGCGCGCGUAGGCGGUCUGAUAAGCCGGUUGUGAAAGCCCCGGGCUCAACCUGGGAACGGCAUCCGGAACUGUCAGGCUAGAGUGCAGGAGAGGAAGGUAGAAUUCCCGGUGUAGCGGUGAAAUGCGUAGAGAUCGGGAGGAAUACCAGUGGCGAAGGCGGCCUUCUGGACUGACACUGACGCUGAGGUGCGAAAGCGUGGGUAGCAAACAGGAUUAGAUACCCUAGUAGUC
rnacentral:rRNA from 1 species